rnacentral:lncRNA from 1 species
GGACUGGCUAGGCCUCCGCUCGACUCUCCCUCCCGUAGCCGCGACUGGUAGAGGUCUGGAAACUCUCCAGGUGUGACCUUGAGAGGGUACAGUUUUAAAUAGGUGGCUGAAAUCCUAUAGGAACUCAAAUUACUUUUUGGUAAUUAAAAAAAUCUCGAUUGUGUGAAAAAAGGAAUUGUUAAACUACAACAUUAAUAAGACAGACAUACAGCGUCGUACCUCUGCAGGUUCUGUCGUUAUUGUGAUUUUAGAAGUUCAUAUAACUGCAAAUUAUGAAAGAGAAAUGGAAAUUCAGUGGCAUGAUGCUAGGGAACACAAAUUCCUGCUGAGCAUCUAGAGGAAUAUAAGUAUUCAAUGCCUAAGGAAAAUUUACAGUGGGAAAUAAAGAAUUGUGAAAUUAAGCUAGCUGCCCAGAAAUUCACUCAGCAAUGAUUCCCUGAAAUGUCGGUAUCACUGCCAAGGAAAUACGGUAAGUGUUACGGUCCAAACCCUGCUAUCAGUCUAUUAUUUAUUCAUUCACCUAAUACCCGUCCAUUACACAAGGAGAGUGGUUGUCUAUAGGAUACACGUUUGAAAUUCAAAUUUCCUCUCGCCAUUCAAGAACCAUUCCAAACAUGAAGAGUGUCUGCCUGGAAGCUGUGAUUGCAACAUGACGAUGAAGGUGGGAAAGAAUAAAGGCCUGGGAGCCGUCUGUUGGAACUCCAGAUCUCCGCUACACGAUAACGGCAUCCGUGGGAGGAAGGAGCCGCGACCGAAAACACAAGGAUCACAGCAGCGGAGAACACAGGCUAGGCUCCGUCCAUACUGUCUCAGGCUAGGCCUCGUCAUUUCACCCCAGGUAGGACUUGAUGAUUUCUGGAGAGGGAGAUGCAACGGUAAUCAUAAUAACGAUGGUAUUUAUUAAGCGCUUACUAUGUACCAGGCACUGUUCUAAGGGCUGGGGUAGAUGCAAGGUAAUCAGGUGGUCCCACGUGGGGCUCACAGUCGUAAUCCCCAUUUUACAGAUGAGAUAACUGAGGCACAGAGAAGUUAAGUGACUUGCCGAAAGUCACGCAGCUGAUAAGCGGCGGAGCCGGGAAUUAGAACCCAAGACCUCUGACUCCCAAGCCCGUGCUCCUUCCACUAAGCCACGCUGCUUCUCAUGACAACGACAGAAGGAAGCUCCAGCCGGAUUUACAGAUUUACCGCCUGCAAGUUGACAUGCCGAGCAUCGAGGGGGAAUUAGGACACUUCACGUCUGCAAUCAAUUCACAGGUCCAUAAGUGUAAAGGUAUACUAUGGAGUGGCUUAAACUGUUGGCCUUUGAAAAUGAAACUUCAUAAUAGAGUGUGGCCUUAAAAAAAAAACCUGGGCUCUUUGUAUGGGUUAGGUAGAUAAAGCUAAAUGAAAUCAAAAUGGGCCAUGUCUCACUGAGAAGUAGAGCCAAUCGAUCAGUGAGUCGAUCGGAAGCAGCGAGGCCCAGUGGAUAGAGCACAGGCCUGGGAAGAAUUAUAAUAAUAAUAAUAAUGGUGGUGUUUGUUAAGCGCUUACUGUGUGCAAAGCACUGUUCUAAGCGCUGAGGGGAUACAGGGUAAUCAGAUUGUCCCACGUGGGGCUCACGGUUUUUAAUCCCCAUUUUACAGAUGAGGUCACUGAGGCACAGAGAAGUGAAGUGACUUGCCCAAAGUCACACAGCUGGCAAGCGGCGGAGCCGGGAUUAGAACCCAUGACCUCUGACUCCCCAACCCGGGCUCUUGCCCCUAAGCCAUGCUCCUUCUCCUACGUAAUUUACAUCUCCUAGGUAAGAAGGAACCGAGUUCUAAUCCCGACUCUUCCACGUGUCCGCUCUUGGACCGUGGCCAAGUGGCUUUACUUCUCUGUGCCUCAGUUACUUCAUCUGUAAAAUGGGGAUUAAAACUGUGGGCCCCACUGUGGGACAGAAGGUGUGUCCAAUACGAUUUGCUUGUAUCCACCCCAGUGUGCUAAAUGUCUGGA